UUUAAACACAAUCAGGAUAUUUAGAUAUUAUGUGCUAAAGGUACCACGUCUUUCUUCUACUAUGUUACCUUUGUUUGUUUUUUUUAUCACAGUUACUCUGUGACUCGAUGUAGUAAUCAAACAGCUUACCAACAUAGCAUUAUAGAAAAGUCCGAGCAACAUUCUUGGUAGGAAUGAAAACACAGCUGAUUUGAAACAAACUCGUUUGCCGAACCAAUCCCUUAUAUGACCAACUUGAUGCUUACUGAAUGCUGACCAAGAUGCCUCGAAGUAAUUGUUGUAAGAACCCACCGAUCCCACCUUCCCCCACAACUGACUGGCCGUCGUUGACGUCCCUCAGAUCAAGAUACAACUUACGUGCCUUACACAUCGAUCCGAACCUAUGAUGACGUCAUCGUGUUAAUAUUACGUCAUGAUGACGAAACAAGCUGAAAAACGUGCUUCAAAUGCGAACGCUUGCUCUACCCAACAGAAAUAUCAUCUGACACGGGGCUCUUACUUCCUGACCAACCGUAAGUUUGUGCUUUUUUCCUGUGUAUUACUUAGUAAUCUAAUUGGUUUAACUCGAAUAUACCGUAUAUAUAUAUAUGUAUAUACACAGUCAUUUAAUUACUUUACGCGUGGUCUACGUACGUAAGGUCUGCCAGACUACAUUAC